rnacentral:rRNA from 1 species
UAAGUGACUAAGCGUACAAGGUGGAUGCCUUGGCAAUCAGAGGCGAAGAAGGACGUGCUAAUCUGCGAAAAGCUUGGGUGAGUUGAUAAGAAGCGUCUAACCCAAGAUAUCCGAAUGGGGAAACCCAGUAGAUGAAGAAUCUACUAUCAAUAACCGAAUCCAUAGGUUAUUGAGGCAAACCGGGAGAACUGAAACAUCUAAGUACCCCGAGGAAAAGAAAUCAACCGAGAUUACGUAAGUAGCGGCGAGCGAAAGCGUAAGAGCCUGCAAGUGAUAGCAUGAGGAUUAGAGGAACCGGCUGGGAAGCCGGGCGGCACAGGGUGAUAGCCCCGUACUUGAAAAUCAUUGUGUGGUACUGAGCUUGCGAGAAGUAGGGCGGGACACGAGAAAUCCUGUUUGAAGAAGGGGGGACCAUCCUCCAAGGCUAAAUACUCCUGAUUGACCGAUAGUGAACCAGUACUGUGAAGGAAAGGCGAAAAGAACCCCGGUGAGGGGAGUGAAAUAGAACCUGAAACCUUGUACGUACAAGCAGUGGGAGCCCGCGAGGGUGACUGCGUACCUUUUGUAUAAUGGGUCAGCGACUUAUAUUAUGUAGCGAGGUUAACCGAAUAGGGGAGCCGAAGGGAAACCGAGUCUUAACUGGGCGUCGAGUUGCAUGAUAUAGACCCGAAACCCGGUGAUCUAGCCAUGGGCAGGUUGAAGGUUGGGUAACACUAACUGGAGGACCGAACCGACUAAUGUUGAAAAAUUAGCGGAUGACCUGUGGCUGGGGGUGAAAGGCCAAUCAAACCGGGAGAUAGCUGGUUCUCCCCGAAAUCUAUUUAGGUAGAGCCUUAUGUGAAUACCUUCGGGGGUAGAGCACUGUUUCGGCUAGGGGGCCAUCCCGGCUUACCAACCCGAUGCAAACUGCGAAUACCGAAGAGUAAUGCAUAGGAGACACACGGCGGGUGCUAACGUUCGUCGUGGAGAGGGAAACAACCCAGACCGCCAGCUAAGGUCCCAAAGUUUAUAUUAAGUGGGAAACGAAGUGGGAAGGCUUAGACAGCUAGGAUGUUGGCUUAGAAGCAGCCAUCAUUUAAAGAAAGCGUAAUAGCUCACUAGUCGAGUCGGCCUGCGCGGAAGAUGUAACGGGGCUCAAAUAUAGCACCGAAGCUGCGGCAUCAGUGGAAACACUGUUGGGUAGGGGAGCGUCGUGUAAGCGGAAGAAGGUGGUUCGAGAGGGCUGCUGGACGUAUCACGAGUGCGAAUGCUGACAUAAGUAACGAUAAAACGGGUGAAAAACCCGUUCGCCGGAAGACCAAGGGUUCCUGUCCAACGUUAAUCGGGGCAGGGUGAGUCGGCCCCUAAGGCGAGGCUGAAGAGCGUAGUCGAUGGGAAACGGGUUAAUAUUCCCGUACUUGUUAUAAUUGCGAUGUGGGGACGGAGUAGGUUAGGUUAUCGACCUGUUGGAAAUGGUCGUUUAAGUUGGUAGGUGGAGCGUUUAGGCA